rnacentral:rRNA from 1 species
CCUACGGGGGGCAGCAGUGGGGAAUAUUGCACAAUGGGGGAAACCCUGAUGCAGCGACGCCGCGUGAGUGAAGAAGUAUUUCGGUACGUAAAGCUCUAUCAGCAGGGGAGAAAAUGACGGUACCUGACUAAGAAGCCCCGGCUAACUACGUGCCAGCAGCCGCGGUAAUACGGAGGGGGCAAGCGUUAUCCGGAUUUACUGGGUGUAAAGGGAGCGUAGACGGCAGGGCAAGUCUGUAGUGAAAUCCCAUGGCUUAACCAUGGAACUGCUUUGGAAACUGUGCAGCUAGAGUGCAGGAGAGGUAAGCGGAAUUCCUAGUGUAGCGGUGAAAUGCGUAGAUAUUAGGAGGAACACCAGUGGCGAAGGCGGCUUACUGGACUGUAACUGACGUUGAGGCUCGAAAGCGUGGGGAGCAAACAGGAUUAGAUACCCUAGUAGUC